GUCAUGCAGGGCUUCUAGGCUUUGAGUUGCUCUCAUCAGCAGUGCAAGGUCACCUUCUCCAACCUGCUUUUCACAGAGGGCAGGAAACACAAUGGUUUGAGAUAAAGCUGCAAAAAGCAUCCCAGAGUUUUCAGCCCUGCCAUCCAUCCCUGUGAUGAAACCAUGGCACAUAACCAAGUCCAUAAACAGAAAACUCCCUCCUCAUCUGCAAAAACAGGGUGCAGGCCAGGGAUGUGAUGCCCCAAGGGAAUCAUCCUCAGGGGGUGGGCACUGG